GAAAGCUUAGUACCUAAUAGAGAGCUAGUUGGCUUAUCGAAAAGACUACCUAAUAGAGGGACCCAGAAGAUCUAUGUUUAAUUUACACCACAUCGUAUGUCCAGAAAAUAUAAAUAAAUUACAACUUUCAGCAAUGGAUCUCUUGGUUCUCGCAUCGAUGAAGAACGCAGCGAAUCGCGAUAAGUAAUGUGAAUUGCAGAUUUUCAGUGAAUCAUCGAAUCUUUGAACGCACCUUGCGCCCCUUGGUAUUCCGAGGGGCAUGCCUGUUUGAGUGUCAUUUUAUCAUCAACUCAUUAGUCUUUGAUUAGGCUUUUGGGCUUGGACUUGGGAAUUGCUGGCUUGAUCUUUUUACCCAUUGAACAGUAUCUAAUACUUAAUAGAGGGAAAAAAGUGUAGUCGGCUGUCCUUAAAUGCAUUAGCGAGUGUUAGUCUACAUGGCACGGCCUCUUGACGUGAUAAUGAUCGUCGUGGGCUGGAAGUGUAGUGUCUGGCUUCUAAAACCCGAUUGCGUGCAUACGGC
rnacentral:rRNA from 1 species